rnacentral:rRNA from 1 species
CACGUGGGUAAACCUGCCCAUCAGAAGGGGAUAACACUUGGAAAACAGGUGCUAAUACCGUAUAACAAUCAAACCGCAUGGUUUUGAUUUGAAAGGCGCUUUCGGGUGUCGCUGAUGGAUGGACCCGCGGUGCAUUAGCUAGUUGGUGAGGUAACGGCUCACCAAGGCCACGAUGCAUAGCCGACCUGAGAGGGUGAUCGGCCACAUUGGGACUGAGACACGGCCCAAACUCCUACGGGAGGCAGCAGUAGGGAAUCUUCGGCAAUGGACGAAAGUCUGACCGAGCAACGCCGCGUGAGUGAAGAAGGUUUUCGGAUCGUAAAACUCUGUUGUUAGAGAAGAACAAGGAUGAGAGUAACUGUUCAUCCCUUGACGGUAUCUAACCAGAAAGCCACGGCUAACUACGUGCCAGCAGCCGCGGUAAUACGUAGGUGGCAAGCGUUGUCCGGAUUUAUUGGGCGUAAAGCGAGCGCAGGCGGUUUCUUAAGUCUGAUGUGAAAGCCCCCGGCUCAACCGGGGAGGGUCAUUUGGAAACUGGGAGACUUUGAGUGCUGAAAGGAAAGUGGAAU